rnacentral:rRNA from 1 species
GAUGAACGCUGGCGGCGUGCCUAACACAUGCAAGUCGGGCGAAAGGACCAGGAGCUUAUUUCUCUGAUGUUAGCCGCGGACGUGUGAGUAACGCGUGUAUACCCGACCUAUGAGACUGAGAUAACUUCGGGAAACCGUAGCUAAUACGGGAUAAUAUUUUGAACCGCAUGGUUCAAAAGAGAAAGACGGUCUUGCUGUCACUUAUAGAUGGAUCCGCGCUUCAUUAGCCAGUUGGUCAGGUCACGGCUUACCAAGGCAACGAUGCAUAGCCGACCUGAGAGGGUGGUAGGCCCUACUGGGAGUGGGACACCGUCCAGACUCCUACGGGAGGCCGCCGUAGGGUACCUUGCGCAGUGGGCGAAAGCCUGACGCAGCAACGCGCCGUGGGUUAUGGCGGUCAUCGGAUCGGAAGACUCUGUUAUUAGGGAAGAACAUCUGUGUAACUAGCUGUGCACACCUUGACGGUACCUAGUCAGAAAGCCACGGCUAACUACGUG